AGCUCCAAUAGCGUAUAUUAAAGUUGUUGCAGUUAAAAAGCUCGUAGUUGGAUCUCAGGUGGAGAUUAGUGGUCAGCUUUUUGCGGAACCGCUACUCUCGCCUAUAGAGCUGUAUGAUAUUAAGGGUGCUGUUCAUUCAGUGCUCUUGAUACUCAGCACGUUUACUUUGAGAAAAUGAGAGUGCUCAAAGCAGGCUUUUUGCUUGUAUAUUGUUGCAUGGAAUAAUGGAAUAGGACUUCUGUUCUAUUUUGUUGGUUUUCGGAAUAGAAGUAAUGAUUAAAAGAGACAGACGGGGGCAUCUGUAUGGUGGCGUUAGAGGUGAAAUUCUGUGAUCGUCGCCAGACAAACUACUGCGAAAGCAUUUGCCAAGGAUGUUUUCA
rnacentral:rRNA from 1 species